ACUCCUCUCUCUUCUCUAUUUCUCUACCCUCUCGUUCCCAAAAACCCAACACUGAAAAUCAAUCUUGCCAAGAAGCCAUCCCCCACGCUGUUUGGUCCGAAAUAGAAAGAAGACAUCAUUGAUCUUUCCAUGGUGCUACUCACAAGGACCGAUCUCCACCUUUGAGCGUUGACGACAGCCAUCAAAAUUGGGCAGAUUGCAUCAAAUGGUUGAAUUAGAACUUUGUUCCAUAAAAUUAGGAUCCGAAGACCCUCACACAUAUGAUGAAACCUUUGGAUUGGUGAUCUCUUCAAGCCUCACAAAACCUUGAUACAAUGCAAGGUUACACUUACGUCAUCAGUUGAAGGAGUGGUGUUCCUUUGCAAAGCAGCCAACAAAUAUAAAGCUAUCAACUUCAUUU